UCCGUAGGUGAACCUGCGGAAGGAUCAUUAUUGAAAAAGAAACCUCAGGCAGGGAGAGGGGGGGAGGUGGUUGUAGCUGGUCCCUUAGGGGCAUGUGCACACUGUCUCUCUUUCUCUCUUGCUUGUUUCUUCAUUCUCUCCACUUGUGCACUGUUUGUAGGCAGCCUUGGCACUGUUCUGGGUUGUCUAUGAUUUUCUUUACACACAUGAACAACUGUUGUACAGAAUGUGAUAGUAAUACAAUACAACUUUCAACAACGGAUCUCUUGGCUCUUGCAUCGAUGAAGAACGCAGCGAAAUGCGAUAAGUAAUGUGAAUUGCAGAAUUCAGUGAAUCAUCGAAUCUUUGAACGCAUCUUGCGCUCCUUGGUAUUCUGAGGAGCAUGCCUGUUUGAGUGUCAUUAAAUUCUGUCAAAACCAUGCUCUUGUGUGAGUGUGCGUUUUGGACUUAUGGGAGUUGUCUGCUGGCUUUUGAGCUAGCUCUCCUGAAAGACAUUAGCUUUGGGGGGAUGUGCCAAGUCACUUCUGCCUUUCCAUUGGUGUGAUAGAUGAAUUAACUUGUCUAUGCCAGGAAAAGCAGGUUGUAGGUGAAAGCACUGUGAUCUCUCUGCUCUCUAAUUGAGAUUUGUCUGAUAACUUGACCUCAAAUCAGGUAGGACUACCCACUGAACUUAAGCAUAUCAAUAAGCGGAGGA
rnacentral:rRNA from 1 species